GCAUAUCAAUAAGCGGAGGAAAAGAAAAUAACAAUGAUUCCCCUAGUAACUGCGAGUGAAGAGGGAUAAGCUCAAAUUUUAAAUCUGUUGGGUUUUACCUAACCGGGUUGUAAUUUGAAGAGGCGUUUUCCGCGUUUUUUGGUCAGUCCAAGUCCUUUGGGAUAGGGCAUCAUGGAGGGUGAGAAUCCCGUUCGUCUGAUCGAAAUUCGUUUUACGAUACGUCUUCUAAGAGUCAAGUUGUUUGGGAUUGCAGCUUAAAAUGGGAGGUAAAUUUCUCCUAAGGCUAAAUAUUGGCGAGAGACCGAUAGCGAACAAGUACCGUGAGGGAAAGAUGAAAAGUACUUUGAAAAGAGAGUUAAAUAGCACGUGAAAUUGUUGAAAGGGAAACGAUUGAAGCCAGUCGUACUGACGGGUAAUCAACCUUUCGGGAGCGAUUCUGUGGGUUAUGUUGAGCUUCACGGCCUUCAUGGUCUGCAUAUUUGUUCCCUUUGGGUGUACUUACCUGGUAGUAAGUUAACAUCAAUUUCGGUCAUCAUAAAAUGACUGGAGGAAUGUAGCUUUGACCUCGGUUGAAGUGUUAUAGCCUCUGGUAGAUGUGGUGACCGGGAUUGAGGAUUGCAACGGAUACCCUUUGGGCUACCCGCCUGAUCUCUGAUGGUUGCUCUGGUGCCGAAAGCGUGCUUACGGUUAUCGAAGUUGAUCGUCAAAAGGUUAGAACGGGUUAAAUUCGUUAAGGAUGUUGACGUA
rnacentral:rRNA from 1 species